rnacentral:rRNA from 1 species
AUGUUUUGGUUGCACUGGUUAGUUGUUAAAGGCUUAGCAGUACCAACCAUGGCGCUGGUGCCGCGGACUCCCCGCUGUGCGCCGUCUCACCGCUCGUCCCUUCUGGCUACACCUCCCCAUGUCAUGCUGCAGUUUAUCCCUUGUCGAAGUUCUUCUGUGAUUCAUCUCAUACGCAUCGUUGGCUGUUCUCUUUCGGCUUUUCAAGGGGUAUGUCAAGGUGUAGGUGCAGACUCAUUGUUGAUGUUGAAUACUGGAGUAAGAAUGAUGAUCAAUGCUCUGACCGUGCCGCUGGAGAUAAUGGUGCGAGCUCGACCAGUUCAUGGUUAG